UACGUAGGGGGCGAGCGUUAUCCGGAUUCACUGGGUGUAAAGGGAGCGUAGACGGCUUUGCAAGCCAGAUGUGAAAGCCCGGGGCUCAACCCCGGGACUGCAUUUGGAACUGUGUGGCUAGAGUGUCGGAGAGGCAGGCGGAAUUCCUAGUGUAGCGGUGAAAUGCGUAGAUAUUAGGAGGAACACCAGUGGCGAAGGCGGCCUGCUGGACGAUGACUGACGUUGAGGCUCGAAAGCGUGGGGAGCAAACAGG
rnacentral:rRNA from 1 species